rnacentral:rRNA from 1 species
GAUGAACGCUAGCGGCAGGCCUAACACAUGCAAGUCGAGGGGCAGCAUAAAAUAAACUUGUUUAUUUGGUGGCGACCGGCGCACGGGUGCGUAACGCGUAUGCAACCUACCUUACACAGGGGGAUAGCCCGGAGAAAUACGGAUUAAUACCCCAUAGCACUAUCGGAUGGCAUCAUUUGAUAUUUAAAGCUUUGGCGGUGGAAGAUGGGCAUGCGUCCUAUUAGCUAGUUGGUGAGGUAACGGCUCACCAAGGCUACGAUAGGUAGGGGGCCUGAGAGGGUGGUCCCCCACACUGGUACUGAGACACGGACCAGACUCCUACGGGAGGCAGCAGUGAGGAAUAUUGGUCAAUGGGCGCAAGCCUGAACCAGCCAUGCCGCGUGGAGGAUGAAGGUUCUAUGGAUUGUAAACUUCUUUUAUUUGGGAAUAAACCCCUUUACGUGUAGAGGGCUGAAGGUACCAAAUGAAUAAGCACCGGCUAACUCCGUGCCAGCCGCCGCAGUAACAC